UACAGAGGGGGCAAGCGUUAUUCGGAAUUAUUGGGCGUAAAGAGCUCGUAGGCGGUUUGUCGCGUCUGCUGUGAAAAUCCAGGGCUUAACCCUGGACCUGCAGUGGGUACGGGCAGACUAGAGUGUGGUAGGGGAGACUGGAAUUCCUGGUGUAGCGGUGAAAUGCGCAGAUAUCAGGAGGAACACCGGUGGCGAAGGCGGGUCUCUGGGCCAUAACUGACGCUGAGGAGCGAAAGCGUGGGGAGCGAACAGG
rnacentral:rRNA from 1 species